rnacentral:rRNA from 1 species
UCGGCGACCGGCGCACGGGUGCGUAACGCGUAUGCAACCUACCCAUUACAGGGGGAUAACACUGAGAAAUCGGUACUAAUACCCCAUAACAUCCAGGGAGGCAUCUUCUUGGGUUGAAAACUCCGGUGGUAAUGGAUGGGCAUGCGUUGUAUUAGUUAGUUGGUGGGGUAACGGCUCACCAAGACAACGAUACAUAGGGGGACUGAGAGGUUAACCCCCCACAUUGGUACUGAGACACGGACCAAACUCCUACGGAAGGCAGCAG